UCAUUAUAUAUUGAACAGAAGCAAAAGCCUCCGUAACGGUCGGACGAUAAUAAAAAGUCAUAGCAAAACCCGUCGCUACUUGGACUAAAAAACAAGUAAGUGUAAUUCCUCCUAAACAAUAAAAUAUAUUGACAUGAGGAGGAACUUGUUUACUAGUUAUAUCAUCGGCAAUCGCUUGAAUCUCAAGACGUUCUUCGAACCAAUCAUAGACUUUAUUGAGAUAGGUAAACCAAAGGACCCCCCUAAGAACCGUAUAUGAGAAUUUCAUCUCGUACGGCUCAAACAA
rnacentral:lncRNA from 1 species